rnacentral:rRNA from 1 species
GAUGAACGCUGGCGGCGUGCCUAAUACAUGCAAGUCGAGCGAACAGACGAGGAGCUUGCUCCUCUGACGUUAGCGGCGGACGGGUGAGUAACACGUGGAUAACCUACCUAUAAGACUGGGAUAACUUCGGGAAACCGGAGCUAAUACCGGAUAAUAUAUUGAACCGCAUGGUUCAAUAGUGAAAGACGGUUUUGCUGUCACUUAUAGAUGGAUCCGCGCCGCAUUAGCUAGUUGGUAAGGUAACGGCUUACCAAGGCGACGAUGCGUAGCCGACCUGAGAGGGUGAUCGGCCACACUGGAACUGAGACACGGUCCAGACUCCUACGGGAGGCAGCAGUAGGGAAUCUUCCGCAAUGGGCGAAAGCCUGACGGAGCAACGCCGCGUGAGUGAUGAAGGUCUUCGGAUCGUAAAACUCUGUUAUUGGGGAAGAACAAAUGUGUAAGUAACUAUGCACGUCUUGACGGUACCUAAUCAGAAAGCCACGGCUAACUAC